AGAGUUUGAUCAUGGCUCAGAGUGAACGCUGGCGGCGUGCCUAAUACAUGCAAGUCGAACGCGAAAGCCCUUCGGGAUGAGUAAAGUGGCGCACGGGUGAGUAAUGCAUGGGAACGUGCCCUGAAAUGGGGAAUAACUGUUGGAAACGACAGCUAAUACCGCAUAGUCUCGAGAGAGUAAAGGUGGCGCCGUAAGGGCUACCGUUUCAGGAUCGGCCCAUGUCCCAUUAGCUAGUUGGCGGGGUAAUGGCCCACCAAGGCAACGAUGGGUAACUGGUCUGAGAGGAUGAUCAGUCACACUGGAACUGAGACACGGUCCAGACUCCUACGGGAGGCAGCAGUAGGGAAUAUUGCACAAUGGGGGAAACCCUGAUGCAGCAACGCCGCGUGAGUGAAGAAGGCCCUUGGGUUGUAAAGCUCUUUAGCCUGGGAAGAGGCUUCGUUAGGUAAAUAAUCUAGCGGGGUGACGGUACCAGGAGAAUAAGCACCGGCUAAUCUCGUGCCAGCAGCCGCGGUAAUACGAGAGGUGCAAGCGUUACUCGGAAUCACUGGGCGUAAAACGCACGUAGGCGGAUUGGUAUGUCAAUUGUGAAAUACCUGGGCUCAACCCGGGAACUGCAGUUGAAACUGCCUUUCUUGAAUGCUUGAGAGGGUGGGGGAAUACCUAGUGGAGAAGUGAAAUUCGUAGAGAUUAGGUGGAACACCGGAGGCGAAGGCGCCUGCCUGGCAAUGCAUUGACGCUGAGGUGCGAAAGUGUGGGGAGCAAACAGGAUUAGAUACCCUGGUAGUCCACACCGUAAACGAUGGAUACUAGGCGUGCGGAGAGUUAACCCUCUGCGUGCCAAAGUUC
rnacentral:rRNA from 1 species